rnacentral:rRNA from 1 species
AUGGGUCUCUCAAGUGAUGUGCAAUGGUGGGAGGAGUGGCAGCUCCGCAUUCUCGUGCUCGGCAGCCUCUUCCUCCAGUUAUUGCUCUACUUCUCUGAUUAUGUGCGUACAAGGCCUCUCCUACGCAAGUUCAGAGUGCUCGUGUGGAUGGCAUACAUAGGCAGCGACGCACUGGCCAUCUACGCCCUCGCCACCCUCUUCAACCGCCAGAAGCAGUGGACGGCGGACGGUGGGAGCACCGCCCUGGAGGUCGUAUGGGCGCCGGUCCUCCUCAUCCACCUCGGCGGCCAGAUGGCAAUAACUGCCUACAGCCUCGAAGACAAUGAGCUAUGGAGGCGGCAUGCCGUAACCCUGGUGUCUCAGGUCACGGUCGCCUUGUACGUCUUCUUCAAGUGGUGGUCCGGCGAGAAGAGGCUACUUGCGGUGGCGGCCAUGCUCUUCGUCAGUGGCAUCAUCAAAUUCAGCCACAAGCCAUGGGCACUCCAGAGAGCUAGCUUUAAUAGCAUGCUGGAAGGCAUUGCUAUCGACCCGAGAAGACAGGUACCUGCAGACAAUACCUGCUGGACAUUCUGCACUUCUGACAUAAUAUUCAAGCAGAUGAUGUCCACCAGGAGAAGAAGGUCGGCAGGAGGAGAAGAAGAACAAGAAGAAGAGCUCGACAUUUUGCUUGAAGAAUACGUACAGAAAGCACAGAAGCACGUGCAGGUGCAGGCAGUAGGCAGUGAUCAAGAUGAAGACUAUGAAAGCACUGUGAUGGAUUACAUGCAUAAGAUGUUUGUCGACAUGUCUGCUACCUACUCUGAUCGGCUUACCAUGUUGCGACCUUUCCUGACGCUGGACGAGAAGAGUGCAAAUUACACGUUACAGAUGUUCCUCGGAUACAUAUUCCAGAUCUUGUACAGCAAAUCCAGAUCACUGCGCAGCAUUCUUACCUUCUGCGUAUGGGGUAUUUUGGUUCCAUGCCUGGCCUUAGCUUCCCUGGUGCUCUUCGCCGUGACCCACAAGGACGGCUACAGCGACAAGGACGUCAGGGUGACAUACAUCCUGCUUUGCUGCAAUGCUGUGCUGGAGUUGCUACCCUACCUCUACGCUGUCCUACAAUCCUCCUUGGAAUUGUUACCCUGCUUGAAAAACUGCUUGAGAAACUGCUUGGAUUGGAUCAUAGCCAUCACUUUGGUAUGUCUCUGCACAACAUAUGUUGGGGAGGACAGGGUCUCCCAGCACAGCCUGCUGUCAUCCGUUGCUCGCACCAAGAAGCCCACCAUCCUUAUGGAGCUUGCCACCUUCAUAUGUCUCAGAAGGUACAUCAACAAGCAUUGGUAUAUUGGGCAGGUAGAUGCAUCCCGGCAUAUAACGGGGCUGCUUCUCGGACACAUGAAAGAUGGGUGGAAGGAGUACAUAAGCGACGCUGCCAGCUACAGAAGGUUCAGCAAUCUCAGGGGCCAGUGGACCUUGCAUCGCCUAGGACUGGAACGGGGCCAGCGUCAAGGGCUUGCGUGGAGCUUCAAGGUGGCGUUCGACAGAAGCGUCCUUCUCUGGCACAUUGCCACGGACCUCUGUUUUCACCACCCAAAUACUAGCUCCACUCGAGGCGACGCCGCGGCCACGCAGCAUAGCAGGGAGAUGUCCAACUACAUGAUCUACUUGCUUUGCAUCCGCCCUGAGAUGCUAUUGCCUGGCACCAGCCCGGGCCUCUUCGACGUCGCCUCCGAUGCUCUCGAGGACGCCUUCAAGGGUAGUAAGGCACUGCUCCACAAAGAAGAAACGCUUGCGCUGGAGAUCAUGGAUAUGGGGAAGUCGUCGUCAGCCACAGCCCCAGCCCCAGCCCCAGGCAAUCUGAUUCCAAGUGCGUGCCGCCUUGCUGAGGCACUCAUGGGGCUGGAUGACGAGGAGAAGAGGUGGCGGGUGAUCCAGGGGGUGUGGGUGGAAAUGCUGUGCUAUUCUGCUGCUAGAUGCAGAGGCUACCUUCACGCCAAGAGCUUGGGUGAAGGCGUGGAGUACCUCUCCUACGUCUGGCUCUUAUGGUCAUUCAUGGGGAUGGAGACCUUGGCCGACAAGUUCCAGAAGCCCGAGGAGCCUCCUGAAGCUUUAGCUGAAGAAGAAAUCGCUCCUGCUACAAGGGCGUCGCCUUCCCCACCCGAAGCAAAGCAAACUGAAGAAGAGAUUUCUAGCCCGGUUUGA